GCGUCGGUUGGGCAUUGGCAGGCCUCGCUGGCUGUAAACCAGUCGUCCAAAAGGACCCUGGCGGUUCGACUCCGUCCCGGCGCA
rnacentral:tRNA from 1 species